rnacentral:rRNA from 1 species
AUGUCAACAUGAUCUAACCUGGGAUUACAAAAUAGAGCUUCCCCACUAAUAGAACAACUAACCUUUUUCCAUGACCACACAUUAUUGAUUCUAGUAAUAAUUACAAUUUUAGUAGGUUACCUAAUAUUUAUACUAUUCUUUAAUAGUUAUACUAACCGAUUCCUACUACAUGGACAAAUUAUUGAAAUAAUCUGAACAAUUUUACCGGCUAUUAUCCUUUUAUUUAUUGCUUUCCCAUCCCUACGACUAUUAUACUUAUUAGAUGAAAUUAGUGAACCAAUAAUUACACUAAAAUCAAUUGGUCACCAAUGGUAUUGAAGUUAUGAAUAUUCAGACUUUAUUGAUUUAGAAUUUGACUCCUACAUAAUCCCAACCAGUGAUCUUUCAGUAGAUGGAUUUCGAUUACUAGAUGUAGAUAACCGGGUAGUACUCCCAAUAAACACCCAAAUUCGUGUAUUAGUUACAGCCGCUGAUGUUAUUCACUCUUGGACAAUCCCGGCCCUUGGGGUAAAAGUAGAUGGAACCCCUGGUCGGUUAAACCAGACCAAUUUUAUAAUUAGCCGUCCGGGAUUGUUCUUUGGCCAAUGUUCAGAAAUUUGUGGGGCUAACCAUAGUUUUAUACCAAUUGUAAUUGAAAGUGUAAAUACAAGUUAUUUUAUUAAAUGAAUUUCA